rnacentral:rRNA from 1 species
CGCUUUCACUCCUACGGGAGGCAGCAGUGGGGAAUAUUGCACAAUGGGGGAAACCCUGAUGCAGCCAUGCCGCGUGUGUGAAGAAGGCCUUCGGGUUGUAAAGCACUUUCAGUAGGGAGGAAGGUAGUGUAGUUAACACCUGCAUUAUUGACGUUACCUACAGAAGAAGCACCGGCUAACUCCGUGCCAGCAGCCGCGGUAAUACGGAGGGUGCGAGCGUUAAUCGGAAUUACUGGGCGUAAAGCGCAUGCAGGCGGCCUGUUAAGUCAGAUGUGAAAGCCCGGGGCUUAACCUCGGAAUUGCAUUUGAAACUGGCAGGCUAGAGUCUUGUAGAGGGGGUAGAAUUUCAGGUGUAGCGGUGAAAAUGCGUAGAGAUCUGAAGGAAUACCAGUGGCGAAGGCGGCCCCCUGGACAAAGACUGACGCUCAGAUGCGAAAGCGUGGGGAGCAAACAGGAUUAGAUACCCUGGUAG